ensembl:lncRNA
UGACCAACGUUAUGGAAUAAGACAAUUGGUACCCUAACCAUAUUGCACACUAACAUCGAUGGGCCUCAAUAGUGAUUUUUAAAUAAUACUUCUGUUGUCUAUGAAUAAAUGCUAUUACAUCAGAGGUAUGGGCGGGGCAUCCUUGAGACGCACUGAGAUGAUCGCUGACAUUGACGAUGAAUAGGCUGACUACUGCUCGCCUGAACACCCAGCUGUCAAACACCAACAUGCUCAUCAACGGACCCAUAUGGCACGGAUUAACUCUUCAACUGUCAAGGAAGCAGAAGCUGAUGUUUUGGAGCUGGGACAAUUAGGAAGUUUCACUGCAUCAAAAUCGAAGCGACUUAAAAAAAACAGGUGAUCCGUUUUUAAGAGGACAAAUAAUCACCCGUAAACCUUACGUUAAGGAGCUGUAAUUUAAACAAAAAUUAAAGGAUAUUAAUUUCCAACUCCGCAUCCUACUCCACAACAUCCGAAGAGCUAAAUAAAAGUCAGCAGUACAAAAGAGAGAACCAGCAUACAUCCCGCUCGUCUCAACAAAAGUUAUCCCCCUAUGGAUGUGGAAUUCUAGCUGACCCAGGGCAACGGAUCUGUUGAACAGCAACUAACGCUCCGUCUUCAGCCGCACGCCGCAAUGCCUUCUCUUCACCACGGAGCCAUAUUCAUAGGGGUGAUGCUCAUCGUCACUGGGGGCUCCACAGCUUUUUUGCCGUCUAGUCAGAGUAGGCUACAGGCUUUCAGCUUGUGCUGUGUGGUCCUGGGCGCUGUGUUGCUCAUUCUGGGACUCUUCUGGGCGAUGAAUGGAAAGAGUACCCCAGUGACUUACAGCAACGAGUACAACCACGAUUACAGCCACGUCCUUUUCACCCCUCCGCCUGGGAACCACUUCCCAGAGUCGCAAUCCGUCUACUUGCAAAGGACUGUGGACAGACAGAGGAGAGGAGUUUAUGAGGAGGACUUUGACUAUCCACCGAUGGAGCCCACCUGCUUCAGCCCCUCAGGGAGAGGGCGGCCCCCUCACUGGGACUUGGAGCCUCCUCCUCCAUACGAAGUGGCUAUCAAAACCACAACGAGCUCCACACACCUGAGGAGAAGCUACUCUGACUCAUUCCGGCCGACAGAGCCUCUCUUCGGCCGCUCGCGAGAGAUCAGCUUUGAGGUGUGAUGGCGCCAUUUUGACUCAAGCCUCCUGAUUCUCUGAGACUUGUGUUGAGUGAUUCCCCAGGCCGACCCUUUCUAUAAUACACAAACCUGUGAUUAAGAUGCAAGCCUUACCCAUAUAUGCACAGCUUCAAUAUUUUGGCAUCCCUGUGUACAACUUCUCUUCCAUUUAUCCAGGUUUAUUUUUGUGAUGUUUAAAAUAUCCUUUUGGCUUCCAUGUUUUAAAUCAUAGAGCUUCUGCACAAGCGGCUGCAAAGAGAGAUCGACUUUGCCCUCCUGAAGGGUGGAAGCUGUGUUUGCCCUCCUGAAGGGUGGAAGCUGUGUUCGCCCUCCUGAAGGGUGGAAGCAGUGUUUGCCCUCCUGAAGGGUGGAAGCAGUGUUCGCCCUCCUGAAGGGUGGAAGCAGUGUUUGCCCUGUAUCCUGAGGUCAAAUGAUUUGGAGGUAGCCACUAAACCACUGAGAUCUAAAUAAGAAGUGUUUAUCUGGUCUGGACAAAUAUUCUUCAGUAAUCUCCUUGAUACGGCUUUCUUGUUACUAAUGUACGGUAAUCUUCUCUUUCUGGACUGAUGUUCGGAUGGUGGCAUUUGAACAUGUGGG